rnacentral:rRNA from 1 species
CGGAAGUAGCUUGCUACUUUGCCGGCGAGCGGCGGACGGGUGAGUAAUGUCUGGGAAACUGCCUGAUGGAGGGGGAUAACUACUGGAAACGGUAGCUAAUACCGCAUAACGUCGCAAGACCAAAGAGGGGGACCUUCGGGCCUCUUGCCAUCAGAUGUGCCCAGAUGGGAUUAGCUAGUAGGUGGGGUAACGGCUCACCUAGGCGACGAUCCCUAGCUGGUCUGAGAGGAUGACCAGCCACACUGGAACUGAGACACGGUCCAGACUCCUACGGGAGGCAGCAGUGGGGAAUAUUGCACAAUGGGCGCAAGCCUGAUGCAGCCAUGCCGCGUGUAUGAAGAAGGCCUUCGGGUUGUAAAGUACUUUCAGCGGGGAGGAAGGCGUUGAGGUUAAUAACCUCAGCGAUUGACGUUACCCGCAGAAGAAGCACCGGCUAACUCCGUGCCAGCAGCCGCGGUAAUACGGAGGGUGCAAGCGUUAAUCGGAAUUACUGGGCGUAAAGCGCACGCAGGCGGUCUGUCAAGUCGGAUGUGAAAUCCCCGGGCUCAACCUGGGAACUGCAUUCGAAACUGGCAGGCUAGAGUCUUGUAGAGGGGGGUAGAAUUCCAGGUGUAGCGGUGAAAUGCGUAGAGAUCUGGAGGAAUACCGGUGGCGAAGGCGGCCCCCUGGACAAAGACUGACGCUCAGGUGCGAAAGCGUGGGGAGCAAACAGGAUUAGAUACCCUGGUAGUCCACGCCGUAAACGAUGUCGACUUGGAGGUUGUGCCCUUGAGGCGUGGCUUCCGGAGCUAACGCGUUAAGUCGACCGCCUGGGGAGUACGGCCGCAAGGUUAAAACUCAAAUGAAUUGACGGGGGCCCGCACAAGCGGUGGAGCAUGUGGUUUAAUUCGAUGCAACGCGAAAAAACCUUACCUACUCUUGACAUCCAGAGAACUUUACCAGAGAUGCUUUGGGUGCCUUUCGGGAAACUCUGAAAACAGGUGCUUGCAUGGCUUGUCCUCCACCUCGGUGUUGGGAAAAUGUUGGGUUUAAGUUCCCGCAACGAAGCGCAACCCCUUAAU